AGGGCAUGCCAAGUCCUGCUGUAUCAG
rnacentral:piRNA from 1 species